rnacentral:rRNA from 1 species
AUUGAACGCUGGCGGCAGGCCUAACACAUGCAAGUCGAGCGGAUGAGUGGAGCUUGCUCCAUGAUUCAGCGGCGGACGGGUGAGUAAUGCCUAGGAAUCUGCCUGGUAGUGGGGGGCAACGUUUCGAAAGGAACGCUAAUACCGCAUACGUCCUACGGGAGAAAGUGGGGGAUCUUCGGACCUCACGCUAUCAGAUGAGCCUAGGUCGGAUUAGCUAGUUGGUGAGGUAAAGGCUCACCAAGGCGACGAUACGUAACUGGUCUGAGAGGAUGAUCAGUCACACUGGAACUGAGACACGGUCCAGACUCCUACGGGAGGCAGCAGUGGGGAAUAUUGGACAAUGGGCGAAAGCCUGAUCCAGCCAUGCCGCGUGUGUGAAGAAGGUCUUCGGAUUGUAAAGCACUUUAAGUUGGGAGGAAGGGCAGUAAGUUAAUACCUUGCUGUUUUGACGUUACCAACAGAAUAAGCACCGGCUAACUUCGUGCCAGCCGCCGCCGUAACAC